UACGGGGGAGCAAGCGUUGUUCGGAUUUACUGGGCGUAAAGGGCGCGUAGGCGGUCAGCACAAGUCAGUUGUGAAAUCUCCGGGCUUAACUCGGAAAGGUCAACUGAUACUGUGCGACUAGAGUGCAGAAGGGCAACUGGAAUUCUCGGUGUAGCGGUGAAAUGCGUAGAUAUCGAGAGGAACACCUGCGGCGAAGGCGGGUGCUGGGCUGACACUGACGCUGAUGCGCGAAGCCAGGGGAGCGAACGGG
rnacentral:rRNA from 1 species